AAGAUCAGUUUCAGUUCAUCAGAGAAACAACAAUGGGUUUGCUAAAAUGACACGAUGUAUGCUUGCUCUUAGUUCCCGAAUUCUUGAACACUCUAAACCCAAAAAGGUUCCUCAAAUAUUGAACUCAAAAUGAAAAAAAAAAGUGAGAAUCGGCCUCUUGUUUCAUUUAUGUUGGAAGGCAACUAUGUCAUUGCAAUUACUCUCUAGG